CGACCCCGGGUCAGGCGGGACUACCCGCUGAGUUUAAGCAUAUCAAUAAGCGGAGGA
rnacentral:rRNA from 1 species